GCAAUCAACAGAAAAUAAGAGCUAUGGCAAAAUACACUACUUUUCUCGCCCUCCUCUUUUGCCUCUUCCUUGUUGCUGCAACUGAAAUACAAAUGGCAGAAGGGAAAUAUUGUU